CUCUAUAUAAAUUACGGACCCGAGGUGAGCAGUGUCAUCGCUUGCUGUUCAUCAUCGUCCACUCCACUCCAGUCUCCAGUCUCCAGUCUCCAGGCGAGUCCGUCCGCCCGUGCCGGCGUCAGCGUUGCAGGCCAGUGGCUGCGUGCUUGUGCAGGAACUUGUGACGACCAGAGAUGAAGGCAGGACGCGGUGCCACCAUCGCCCUUUUGCUGCUGCUGCUGAGCUCCGGUCCGGCAUGGCUACGCCGCCGGCGGCAGAGGUCGAUGUUCAGCACUACACCGACGGGCUCGGAAUGUGGGUCUGCACGGUGUAUGCCCGUCUGGGACCAAUCGACAAGGCGACGUGCGAUUGGAUGUGCAGGCUGUCCAACAACUCGACGACCAGCGGCGGCCUGCAAGUGCGGCUCGGCGACGACUACGAUUGUUGCGACAGAGGCUGCCGCUGCUCCUUCUGCGUCUCUGUCUACACAAUUGGCGCCGGACAUGCUGCUGCCGCCGCUGCUGUGUGGCCGAUCGCGCUGUCCAGCCUCCUUGUGCUGCUGGUGAUGCUGGCGUAGUUCAGAGUUACCCCCCGUAGCCGUGCACUGUGCGUGCGUGAGGUUCAGAGUUUCUUCAGGAUGCAUCUACUAGUGUUGGUCAGUGUUGGAGCUGGGCACUAGCCAAUUAGCCAUAAUAAAAGUUGAUAAGACUCAAUGAAUGUGGACUUGUGGAGUGCCAUUCCCAUUAUCACUUGAUGAAAUUUCAGUUGUGUUACCUGUUCUCAUGCAGAGCAGGGAAUGUGAAUGGAUGG